UUAAAUAAAAAAGGAACAAUGAUAAUUAAUUAUGAACCGAAGGAAUACUUUCUUAUUGAAUUCAUUGUUAUUCUGCCACCGCAUCAAUGCUGCCUUGCUAUUUCCAUCUGUCUCUCUAUGUGGCAUCCCCAACCCACUUUCAUGGCAUCUCUCUCAGUUAUGGAAGAAAAAUAGACAGAAGUGUUCUUCAAGUAUUCCUGCAAUUUAAGGUAAAAGACAAAUAAUGGAGAGACGUCUGGAUGGAGGAAAAAUUGUAUUGGAGUAAGGGUCGUUUUGGGAAAAAGGAAGGUUGUUAUGCAACUUAAGCGGCGCAAUACGUAUAGCCAGGUGUCUGCUCACAAAAAGGAGGUGUUGUUGCUAUGUUGCUGUACAUAUUCUACAAGGCAUAAUUUUCUUGAAAAUCCCAAUAUUGACACCUCAAUGCAGCAAACAUCAUCUUUGCAUAGAGAUGGUUUUCCAAAACAGACAGCAUUUAUCAUCUGAGAAAUUUCGGGGCUUUCUGAAAAAGAAAUAGAGUAGUCAGGAACUAUCAACAUGUAUAUAAAGCAUCUAACUUUUCUAAUGACAUCUUCAUGGAUGAUGUUGUCCAACACGAAGGUCUCAGAUGAUCUCCAAACUAAAUCACCAAAUGAGAGUGUUAUUUCUGCGUAAGCUCUUCCAUCGCGUCUGCUAGCUUACACUCUCAUUUACUUUGCAAUGGGAUUCCUCUUUGGUUCCUCCUUCAGCUUCUUCUCAUUCCCGGUGUGCUUUCCCUUCUCCUCCGUCCACUGAUUUUAGGCUGUAAGGUUCAUUGGUACUGACACAUGUCGGUGUGGGUGUACUUUGUGGAAGGAGAGAAUUUUAUUGUGGCAAUCAGAAUUACUGCUAAUCAGACUCCAUAAUUCGCGGGUGAAUAUAGCAAGAAAUGCCUUAUAAGCACGCAUACCGAUUAAAUACUUAGCUAAAAUUCUCUUUGGUUCCUCCUUCAGCUUUCUUUCAUUCUCGAUGUGCUUUCCCCGCUCGUCCGUUCACCGAUUUCAGGAUGAAGCCAAACUCUUGUUUGUGUCAUCAACUGGGAGAAAUAGUGACCCUGAGAACCUUCAAGCACUUACCUCCUUCACUCUCGGAAAUUUAUCCACAUCAGGAUUCUACACCUCUCUUCCAAUGGAUGAAGAAAUGAUACCUAUUGCAAACAUUGAUUCGCAACAAGAUCAAACGUGCCGUCAUCUUCGACUCAACAGUAACUCUAGCUAGUCUUCA